GCGGGCGUGGUGGAAUGGUAGACACAAGCGACUUAAAAUCGCUCGAGCCUGGCUCGUGCGGGUUCAAGUCCCGCCGCCCGCA
rnacentral:tRNA from 1 species